rnacentral:rRNA from 1 species
AGAGUUUGAUCAUGGCUCAGAUUGAACGCUGGCGGCAUGCCUUACACAUGCAAGUCGAACGGCAGCACGGGGGCAACCCUGGUGGCGAGUGGCGAACGGGUGAGUAAUACAUCGGAACGUGUCCUGUAGUGGGGGAUAGCCCGGCGAAAGCCGGAUUAAUACCGCAUACGAUCUACGGAAGAAAGCGGGGGAUCGCAAGACCUCGCGCUAUAGGGGCGGCCGAUGGCAGAUUAGCUAGUUGGUGGGGUAAGGGCCUACCAAGGCGACGAUCUGUAGCUGGUCUGAGAGGACGACCAGCCACACUGGGACUGAGACACGGCCCAGACUCCUACGGGAGGCAGCAGUGGGGAAUUUUGGACAAUGGGGGAAACCCUGAUCCAGCAAUGCCGCGUGUGUGAAGAAGGCCUUCGGGUUGUAAAGCACUUUUGUCCGGAAAGAAAACUUCUGCCCUAAUACGGCGGGAGGAUGACGGUACCGGAAGAAUAAGCACCGGCUAACUACGUGCCAGCAGCCGCGGUAAUACGUAGGGUGCGAGCGUUAAUCGGAAUUACUGGGCGUAAAGCGUGCGCAGGCGGUUCGUUAAGACAGAUGUGAAAUCCCCGGGCUUAACCUGGGAACUGCAUUUGUGACUGGCGAGCUAGAGUAUGGCAGAGGGGGGUAGAAUUCCACGUAGCAGUGAAAUGCGUAGAGAUGUGGAGGAAUACCGAUGGCGAAGGCAGCCCCCUGGGCCAAUACUGACGCUCAUGCACGAAAGCGUGGGGAGCAAACAGGAUUAGAUACCCCUGUAGUCC